ensembl:lncRNA
GAGGGGAGUUCUGAAGGGCGACCCUAAAGAUGGAGAGCAGGAGAUGAAGACUCACCACCCCCUCAACAUCAAACCCCCGCUAACGAAACCGGAAUCCUCCUCGGCCUGGGCAUCCCGCCCCUGCUCGGUGCCCCGCUUCUCUUCCCCCCUGUGCUCCCCCGUUAGGGUCUGGUAGCCGAGACAGCUGGAUGUCCAGCGCCAGACCCUUCCCCCCAGAAACCUGGCCCCUGUUUUACAAGGCAAUCAAGAGGCCUGUCCUUACAACUGUUCAGGACCCAGAACUAUUGAAGAUGACUCCAUUUUCUCCACAGUGGAAGAAGAAGGAAAAAAGUCAAACAUUCAUCUAUUGAUGAUAGUACCAACAAAAUCCUGGGGACCAUCGUCCAUAAAGCCCAAAUGGUCAGAACCAGUCUUCCCUGUUGCACCGGAUCCUGAAGAAGGACCAACAGAAGAGAUAAGAAAACUAAGGCCCAAGAUCACAGAGCAAGUUAGGUGGCGGGGACUCUUGAAUCCUGACCCACCCUUCCAUCCCAUCCUACAACCCUAGGGAUUUCCUUACUGUGUGACUUUAUCUGCCAAAAACCUACUUUGUCCAUCCUUCACCAGAAGUGCCCAAGACCAACUGAGGACCCAAGGCCCCCCCGGACCUCUCCGUACCUCUCCGUACCUGCGCAAGCCACUUAACCACCAGGUGGCACUAACUGGCCGCUUGCUCCGAGGGAAGUGAGGAGGAGGUCCCUGAAGUCCAUGAGUGGGAGGGCCACCCUGGCCCUCCUAGGAAUCCUUUGUCCUCCCUUAGGCCCUGGUUGGGACCAGCUUUGAGGAUGGGUCCUAAAUUUUCAAGGAAUAAUAAUAAGAAUAAACAUGAGGCCCAGGCCAAUGCAAUCUGUCUCUUGAGCUUGUCCUCCUAAAACACACAAGCUAAGCAGCCCAGCUUGCUCUUGGAGCCACCAUCCCAUGGCUUGGAAAUUGUUACCCAGAAUUUGGCAGGAAUAAUGCCAAAUAUUUGUACAGGGAAUUUACAGUUUUCAAAGCACUUCCAAGCCCAUUUUCUCAUUAGAUCAUUUGAUCAUUGACUUCAUGUGGAGCAAGUUUAAUUGACCCCAUCUUAAAGAUGGGGAAACUGAGGCUCAAAGAUUAAAUAAGUUGCCCAAACUCAAUAACAAAGUGAAAAUAGAAGUAGGACCCAUGUCUCCUGACUUCUAAUAGAAGACUCUCCAAUACUGGGUGCCUCAUUUAAUAAUCCCAGGCAGAAAACCAAGUCAUAGAGUCAGAGACCUGGUUUCCAAUCCCCCUCCUAACUUUUGAGGUUUACCAUCUGUGUGAACUUGGACAAAUCACCGGAUUUCCCUAGGUCCCAGUUUCCUUACAUGGACUCUAAUGUCCUUACUAAAUUUAAAUGUAUCUCCUACCCCACCCUGCACAGUCCUGGGCAAGAUGGAUGGGAGAAACAUUCAUUUCAUUAUAGUCUGUCACAGUCCCAGAAAGCCUAUUCUUAAACUCUUCCCUCCUCUUUGGAGUCAGAGGGUCUUCACAGGCUUCUAGUUUACAAUUUAAAUGCAAAUACCCUUUGGACAGGGAUUUCCCUCCCAUCAAUAAAACCAGGGUUAAGUCAAGGAUGGAAAAGUUGGGGGGGGGGGGGCGGGGAGAAGGAGUGAGGAACUUAAGCAUAAUCAAAGCUCCAUAAGGACAUUAACAUUCAUUUUAGUCUUCAUGUCCCCAACAACUUAUUACCUAG